GCCAGACCAUCCAGCCCUGCAGAGGAGAAUAAUGCUUCACUGAGAGCUACUCUUCAGCAUGGAGAUCUGGAAAGUCCUGUGACUUCAGCCAAGGCUGCAUCUCAGGCCAGUACUCCUGGAGGGAAGUAUAGCACAAGGACUGCUGGACAAACAUCAUACCCUCAGCAACCUUGGACAUUGGCACCUUUUUACCACAGAGAUCUAGUGUUUGUCUGAAGAAUGACGUCAUUCCUCCAUUUGUUUGGCCGCUGCAGUGACCCUUUGGCCUUUACAUGGACAGGCAUUUUGCUUUCUGCCAGGAGCAAUUGAAUGAACCACUCCAGCUGAGCUGUGAAUUACAGCUCCAGAAUGAGCAAGGAUCCUACACAACAACAGCACCUGAUCUAAUCUUUUCAUUGUUUAUGUGCUGAGGGAAAAUCAAGGUAAAUUCAUGUUGAAUGUCUAAGUUCACUCAGUGGCUGACAAGUCCUCCUGUAAUGGACCCAGUACGAGUGAUGAACCCAACCAACACAGCAAUCGUUGUGUGCAACGUGUGUUGUGUAUCAAUGAAAAUGUGCAUUUGUGACCCAUCUGUGUGACACCAGUGGCUGUGAUUCUGUUUUCCUAUCCCUACUCUGAGAGGUAACCUUUAAUGAAGCAGCAGAGGUUUUGUUUUUAAGAGCCUGUGGUCAAAAAAAGAAGUGGGAAUGGUGGAAGUGCAGAUAAGGAGACAGUAAUUAAAGAGACUUCAAAACUCUGAAGUAUCUAGGCAGAAUAGUGUGGUAAAGUUCCUGCAAACCACUUCUGCUUUUGAAGGGUCUGCUCAAAACCACA